rnacentral:rRNA from 1 species
GGAAACUGCCUACGCAAGUAGUGAGGAAGGCGGGGAUGACGUCAAAUCAGCACGGCCCUUACGUCCAGGGCUACACACGUGCUACAAUGGCCGAUACAGAGGGCAGCUACCUGGUGACAGGAUGCAAAUCUCCAAAGUCGGUCUCAGUUCGGAUCGGAGUCUGCAACCCGACUCCGUGAAGUUGGAUUCGCUAGUAAUCGCGCAUCAGCCAUGGCGCGGUGAAUACGUUCCCGGGCCUU